rnacentral:lncRNA from 1 species
AUUGACUUGAGGGAAGGCAAUAGGAGUUUUCUUAUAUAUAUAAAAAUUUAUAAUUCUAGGGCAGGAAUUUUCCUGAAAACUUUUUAAAAAAUUGAGAUAUAAUAUAAAUCCAAGUGCACAAAUCAUAGGGGCAUAGCUCCAUGACUUUUUACAAAGUAAAUAUCCAUGCAACCACCACUUAAAUCAAGCUGUAGAUAAUUGCCAGCAGCCCACAAUCCUCCUUCGUUUUAGGCAGGAAUUUUUUGACAGAUAUUAUGAUUCAGUGUUCUUCUUUGCGUAUGCCUCUGUUCUGGAUGGUUGCACCUCUGAAUAAUAAGUUAAUAUUAUUCACUCACUUUAAGAGUCUUAUUUUUCAACUGUACGCUAUACCUCUGAGGCACACAGGCAAUGGAACCAUGGCGGGGCCCUCCCUCCGUUUUGGGACGGGUACUGCACUGAGGUGGGGGUGGGGGGAGUGCAGGGUAGGUGGGCCUGAUGAACUCAGCACUCCCAGCGCUGGCAUGACUCAAACCUCUACACUGACUGAGCCCUGUUUGCAGAUUUGUGCGUCUCCCGAAGCUGGUUUCUGGCCACGCUGUUUCCUAGCCUCCAAACACCUCUGAAAGCAGCUGGUCUUCCUGUGUGGGCACCAUGUCGCCUGCGCCUGCCCUGAGACUGUAUUCCUUUCAUGCUCACUCUGUCCCUCUGAUCUACUAAAAAUGUCCUUCUGCAGACUUCUGAUGAAAACGAAAUUAAACCUGGGGAUUAGGGCAGGGGAGGCUGGGGCCAGAGCAAGAAUGUGUUGCCUGAGGCCUUGGCUGGGCUGUCUUCCAGCGACUUUGGAGAGGUAGCCCCAGGAAAGGACUGGCUGAUGAGCUCUGAGCAAACCCCAGCUCCCAGGGCAGCGGGGCCGGACAUCGGACUGCAUUUUGAAGAUCAGCUACCAGAGCUGCAGGAACUGGGAGGCAGAGGAGCUAAGGAGGCCUCAGGGAGGCUUGAAUCACCUGUCCCCUUCUGUAAUUAAUGGUUUUGAUGCUUUUUUCUCAUUUUUGUUUUAAUCUGAUGAUUCAGCGGUGAAACUAGGAGGCCCUGGCAAAUUCAAGUGUGUCCUAAGGAAACCGUAUCUAUGAAAGGGUUAACUUUAUGCAGAAGUCAAACCUCGAUCCAUGAAGAUUAGCUCUGGAGAAGGAAUCAUUAUGUGCGAGGGGCCACAGGUGAAGUACUAUACACCUGGCCAUACUUAGGGUUUUCUUGCUUUGAGAUCUCCCAGACAUUGGUCUACUUGGCUGGCUUGCUCUGUGUUUCUUAUUUGGCCCCAAAUGUUCAAUUGCCUUUGCUGGAACUCCUACCUCCUUACAGGCAAGAUGAAACUUUGGCAAGGCUUUACAAAAUACCGAAAGAGAAUGAGACUGAAAGAAGCCUGGGAAAUAUAGGCAUGUUUUUAAUGUCCUGGCACCAUUCUGUAUGGGUACCUGAUGCUGCCUUAACCUGCCUGAGGCUGCAGCUUCUAGCCUCUAGUACCAAGUCCUUGCAAACCUCAGACGGCCCUUUGCCUGGUAUUCUGAUUUUUUAGAUCUCAGUCUGCGUCAGCACGGGUAGAGGGGAUCUGCUGACCUUCCCAGCCGAGUGGUGAAGAACCCACCUGCCAAUGUGGAAGAUCCAGGUUUGAUCCCUGGGUCGGGAAGUUCCCCUGGAGAAGGACAUGACAACACACUCCAGUGUUCUUGCCUGAUGAAUCCCAUGGACAGAGGAGCCUGCUGAGCUACAGUCCAUGGGGUUGCAAAGACUCAGACACAGCUGAGUGACUGAGAAUGCAUGCAAGCACAGAGAAUGAAACACUCGCCUUUUAUUAACCUCUGCUACGUGCCAGGCAGUUUGUAAAGAUGUUUGCAUGCAUCAUUUCUUUUCCUCUUUUCAACUCUUCUAUAUGAUGUGCAUUAUUAAGCCCAUUUUUCAGGUGAAGAAACUGAGGCUCAAACAGAUUGACUAGCUCGAGGCCACACAACCUAGUAAGUGGUGGAGUCAAGACUCACAUGCUGGUUUUGUAAUGCAUGAUCCAAGACCUCUUUCUUAAUCAAGGUAAUGCUUUCAUGAUCAAAUCUGAGAGAAGACUGUUCUAUUGUCUCACCAGACUUUUCUCCUCAGCUCCAAUCUCUAGACUGAGCACUCUUCUCCUGGUAAUUGCCCCAUGAAGGACAUGGACCUGUCACAGGUAUGUCGUUUUGCAUUUAGAUGCCAGCAGUAUAGACCCAUUACUAUGUAUUAUCAUACCCCAGCAUUCAUAAAGGAACUGCACCAAUUAGCUAAUCAGGGGCCACUACACCAUUGAAUGAUUUUAUGUUUUACAAAAGGCUUCAGCAUUAGAUUCUUUUAUCUAGCGAAC